rnacentral:rRNA from 1 species
UACGUAGGGUGCGAGCGUUGUCCGGAAUUAUUGGGCGUAAAGAGCUCGUAGGCGGUUUGUCACGUCUGCUGUGAAAUCCCGAGGCUCAACCUCGGGCCUGCAGUGGGUACGGGCAGACUGGAGUGCGGUAGGGGAGAAUGGAAUUCCUGGUGUAGCGGUGGAAUGCGCAGAUAUCAGGAGGAACACCGAUGGCGAAGGCAGUUCUCUGGGCCGUAACUGACGCUGAGGAGCGAAAGCGUGGGGGACGCAAACAGG